rnacentral:rRNA from 1 species
CUAAGGAUCUUGCGCAAUGGGCGAAAGCCUGACGCAGCGACACCGCGUGGGGGAAGAAGGCUCUCGGGUUGUAAACCCCUUUUAUCGAGGAAGAGAAUGGACGGUACUCGAUGAAUAAGGUUCGGCUAACUACGUGCCAGCAGCCGCGGUAAUACGUAGGAACCGAGCGUUGUUCGGAUUUAUUGGGCGUAAAGGGCGCGUAGGCGGCCUGUUAAGUCUCAUGUGGAAUCUCCCGGCUCAACUGGGAGGGGUCAUGGGAAACUGGCAGGCUCGAGGUCAGCAGAGGAAAGUGGAAUUCCCGGAGUAGUGGUGACAUGCGUAGAUACCGGGAGGAACACCAGUGGCGAAGGCGGCUUUCUGGACUGAUCCUGACGCUGAGGCGCGAAAGCAUGGGUAGCAAACCGG